GCACCCAUAGCUCAGCUGGAUAGAGCGCUGCCCUCCGAAGGCAGAGGCCAGAGGUUCGAAUCCUCUUGGGUGCG
rfam:Paracoccus aminophilus JCM 7686, complete genome.